rnacentral:rRNA from 1 species
CCUACGGGAGGCAGCAGUGAGGAAUAUUGCACAAUGGGCGAAAGCUGAUGCAGCGACGCCGCGUGAGGGAUGACGGCCUUCGGGUUGUAAACCUCUUUCAGCAGGGACGAAGCGCAAGUGACGGUACCUGCAGAAGAAGCACCGGCCAACUACGUGCCAGCAGCCGCGGUAAUACGUAGGGUGCGAGCGUUGUCCGGAAUUACUGGGCGUAAAGAGCUCGUAGGCGGUUUGUCGCGUCGUCUGUGAAAACCCGCAGCUCAACUGCGGGCUUGCAGGCGAUACGGGCAGACUUGAGUACUGCAGGGGAGACUGGAAUUCCUGGUGUAGCGGUGAAAUGCGCAGAUAUCAGGAGGAACACCGGUGGCGAAGGCGGGUCUCUGGGCAGUAACUGACGCUGAGGAGCGAAAGCGUGGGUAGCGAACAGGAUUAGAUACCCUGGUAGUCCACGCCGUAAACGGUGGGCGCUAGGUGUGGGUUUCCUUCCACGGGAUCCGUGCCGUAGCUAACGCAUUAAGCGCCCCGCCUGGGGAGUACGGCCGCAAGGCUAAAACUCAAAGGAAUUGACGGGG